rnacentral:rRNA from 1 species
UCCUACGGGAGGCAGCAGUAGGGAAUCUUCCACAAUGGGCGAAAGCCUGAUGGAGCAACGCCGCGUGGGUGAAGAAGGUCUUCGGAUCGUAAAACCCUGUUGUUAGAGAAGAAAGUGCGUGAGAGUAACUGUUCACGUUUCGACGGUAUCUAACCAGAAAGCCACGGCUAACUACGUGCCAGCAGCCGCGGUAAUACGUAGGUGGCAAGCGUUAUCCGGAUUUAUUGGGCGUAAAGGGAACGCAGGCGGCAAAAUAAGUCUGAAGUAAAAGGCGUUGGCUCAACCAACGUAAGCUUUGGAAACUG